CAUUAACGAAGAAACAUAUCUUCAAACGGGACGUUUUUCGUCCGUCGACUUGGCCACGUGGUUGUUUGUGAUUGGCUUAGGGACAGCAUUAGGGACGAAAAAAAAACUUCUCUUGUUUCUCGUUUUUCCUCUUCUCUCUCUUUUUUUCGCCUCUGCAAUCGGAAGAGAUUUUUCUCUCAAAUCGGAACCAAUCGGUGAAGGAGUGAGAACGAAGGAGUCGAAGUUAACACCUUCGUCGUCACUGGAGGUCUCGGCUUCGUCGGUGCCGCCCUCUGCUUAGAGCUCGUUCGCCAUGGAGCUCGCUCGACCUCCGCGACUCUUCUCCUUGGUCCGAUGAUCUCAGAAUCAGUGGCGUUCUCUGCAUCCAAGGUUUCAAUCCCAUCGAUCCCUUUUUUCUAUCUAACCUUUGAAUUCCAUCGAUUUGAUCUCUUAAUUUCUUAAAUCUCAAAUCCUAUGAAUUAGUUGGUAGAUCACAAACAACGCUCUCUUGUCAAUUUUAGUGGAAUUGAUGGUGAUGAUGAUGAAACAGGGGAUUUGACUAAGAAAGUAGAUGUAGAUCGUUCAUUAGAUGGAGCGGACUGUGUUUUGCAUCUUGCUUCCUAUGGAUUCCCCUCUUUGGUGAAUUUACUUGCCAAAAUGCUAUCUUGGCUGAGCGGUUCAUUGAAGGAGGUAGCGCGUAUGUACCAAAAUAACUUAUGCUCGUAAUAAUCUUUAUGUAGGAUUCAUCUUGUUUAUCUUUAGAAUUGAAUUGUGAAACGUAUGGAUGGGAUUGUGUGUGAUAUGAAACAUAUGAUAUAGAGAUGAGAGAUCUUGAUUAUGUGUGAAGAAGACUCUCAACAGGUCGUAGAGGAGAUUCAUGAAAUAAAAGUGGUUGGUGUCAAGGAAUCAAUUUCACCAGAGAGAGAACCAUACUGCGCAAAACAAUUGAUUCCCCAAUCUAAGGCAUAGUGCCUGGUUUGUUUGAAGAUAGUAGGUAUAAGUCUGAAUCAAAGAAACCAUCUUUGAAGUCUGUUGAUAUCAUUGGAUUUGGAACUGGUCCUGCGCUAGAGAAGAAGCUGAAGUAUGAUGAUGAUGUUUCUUACGGUGUGAUUUUCGGGAGAGAACUCACUAACUCUCCUGCCAAUGUGCUUACUCUUGGUAUGGAUGGUCUCAAACACUAUCAUGUUUUAUGGUUUGUUGAGUUGUCCUAUUCUAUUUUAAUAUGCUUUUGUGUUUUGUAUGUUUAAAAGUUUAUGAAAUGUUUGUUUUUGUUUUGA